rnacentral:rRNA from 1 species
GAUUAAGCCAUGCAUGUCUAAGUAUAAGCAAUCUAUACUGUGAAACUGCGAAUGGCUCAUUAAAUCAGUUAUCGUUUAUUUGAUAGUACCUUACUACUUGGAUAACCGUGGUAAUUCUAGAGCUAAUACAUGCUAAAAACCUCGACUUCGGAAGGGGUGUAUUUAUUAGAUAAAAAACCAAUGCCCUUCGGGGCUCCUUGGUGAUUCAUAAUAACUUAACGAAUCGCAUGGCCUUGCGCCGGCGAUGGUUCAUUCAAAUUUCUGCCCUAUCAACUUUCGAUGGUAGGAUAGUGGCCUACCAUGGUAUCAACGGGUAACGGGGAAUUAGGGUUCUAUUCCGGAGAGGGAGCCUGAGAAACGGCUACCACAUCCAAGGAAGGCAGCAGGCGCGCAAAUUACCCAAUCCCAAUACGGGGAGGUAGUGACAAUAAAUACUGAUACAGGGCUCUUUUGGGUCUUGUAAUUGGAAUGAGUACAAUUUAAAUCCCUUAACGAGGAACAAUUGGAGGGCAAGUCUGGUGCCAGCAGCCGCGGUAAUUCCAGCUCCAAUAGCGUAUAUUAAAGUUGUUGCAGUUAAAAAGCUCGUAGUUGAACCUUGGGCUCGGCUAGCCGGUCCGCCUCACCGCGUGCACUGGUCCGGCCGGGCCUUUCCUUCUGGGGAUCCUCAUGCCCUUCACUGGGUGUGCUGGGGAACCAGGACUUUUACUUUGAAAAAAUUAGAGUGUUCAAAGCAGGCAUUUGCUCGAAUACAUUAGCA